rnacentral:tRNA from 1 species
AAGGAUUUAAGUUAAAUAAACUAUUAACCUUCAAAGUUAAAAAUAAACCUAAUUUAAGCCUUG